UACGGAGGGUGCAAGCGUUAUCCGGAUUUACUGGGUUUAAAGCGCGUGUAGGCGGCCCGGCACGUCCGUCGCUGAAAUCCCCCGGCUCAACCGGGGAAGGGGCGCGGAUACGACCGGGCUGGAGGGGGGUAGGGGGAGCCGGAACUUCCGGUGGAGCGGUGAAAUGCGUUGAGAUCGGAAGGAACGCCCGUGGCGAAAGCGGGCUCCUGGACCCCACCUGACGCUGAGACGCGAAAGCCAGGGGAGCGAACGGG
rnacentral:rRNA from 1 species